AUGCUUUGGAAGAAGCUUGUACAGUUUGGGAAGGGGUUUUUUGAGAGAAAAGAAGAAUCUACUUCAACCGAUAUGCCCUUAGGCACGGCCAUGCAUAACAUAGAAAUCACACGUGGAAGGGGUGGGCAAUUAGCUAGAGCAGCAGGUGCUGUAGCGAAACUCAUUGCAAAAGAGGGUAAAUCGGCCACUUUAAGAUUACCAUCUGGGGAGGUCCGUUUAGUAUCCCAAAACUGCUUAGCAACAGUCGGACAAGUGGGUAAUGUUGGGGUGAACCAAAAAAGUUUGGGUAGAGCCGGAUCUAAGUGUUGGCUCGGUAAACGCCCCGUAGUAAGAGGGGUAGUUAUGAACCCUGUGGACCACCCCCAUGGGGGCGGUGAAGGGAAAGCUCCCAUUGGUAGAAAAAAACCCACAACCCCUUGGGGUUAUCCUGCGCUUGGAAGAAGAACUAGGAAAAGGAAAAAAUAUAGCGAUAGUUUUAUUCUUCGUCGCCGUAAGUAA
rnacentral:rRNA from 1 species